rnacentral:sRNA from 1 species
GCCAGGCGCGGUGACUCACGCCUGUAAUCCCAGCACUUUGGGAGGCUGAGGUGGGUGGAUCACCUGAGGUCAGGAGUUCAAGACCAGCCUGGCCAACAUGGUGAAACUCUGUCUCUACUUUAAAAAAAAAAAAAAAAGCCAGGUGCAGUGGCUCAUGCCUGUAAUUCCAGCACUUUGGGAGGCUGAGGUGGGUGGAUCACCUGAGGUCAGGAGUUCAAGACCAGCCUGACCAACAUGGAGAAACCCCUUCUCU